rnacentral:rRNA from 1 species
AUUGAACGCUGGCGGCAGGCCUAACACAUGCAAGUCGAACGAGUGGCGGACGGGUGAGUCAUGUCUGGGAAACUGCCCGAUGGGGGGGGAUAACUACUGGACACGGUCGCUAAUACCGCAUACCAUCGGAUGUGCACAGAUGUGGUUAGCUUGUAGGUGAGGUAACGGCGCACCUAGGCAACCAUCCCUAGCUGGUCUGAGAGGAUGACCAGGUACACUGGAAAUGAGACACGGGCCAUACUACUACGGUAGGCAGCAGUGGUGAAGAUUGCACAAUGGGCGCAAGUCUGAUGCAGCCAUGCCGCGUGUAUGAAGAAGGCCGUCGGGGUGUAAAGUACUUUCAGCGGGGAGGCGUUACCCGCAGAAGAAGCACCGGCUAACUCCGUGCCAGCAGCCGCGGUAAUAC